GAAAAGGUGGGGGUUUGCAAAGGGAGUAACUUCUGGUUCCUUUGUUACUUAGGUAUGGAAAGUUAGGGUUUUCCUUUCACUUUAGUUCUAGGAAGUCAGCGUGAAACGCCUGAAGUUUUCUGCCUCCAGACUCUACUCUCCUGCCUCAAUUCUACUCUCUACUUUUAUAAGCUCGACUCACAUGACGAAAGCCCUCAUCAGAUGCUUACAUCAUGAUCUUGGACUUCCCAGCCUCCAGACUGAUGCUAUGGAAGAUCAGAAAAUAUAAAUUUAUGAACUGCUAUAAACUGUUAUUUUCUUCGUGAAGAUCAGUUAAACACCUAAGAAACAGAAAGCAGACAUGUUCUAUCCUCUUCAAGAACUAUUUUCUGACCUCUUGUGUUAUCUGCUCAGUGCCCAUCACUACAAUAUAGAGAUGCCACAAUGUAUGUGAAGAAUGGCGUUCCUCAAGACCCACCUGCUAAAUAAAUCACACCAAACAAGUUUAACAGUAAUUCUGGGACUCACAGCAGUGGCCCACUCAGGCCCUUGAGACUUUGGCUUCGGACUAAGAGACCAUUGGAAUCUGUAGUUCUGAGGCCUUCAGACUUGACUUGGAUUGAGCCACGCUUCUGGCCUCCCCGUUUCUCCGGCUUGCAGACGGCUCAUCGUGGGACUUCCCUGUUUCCAUAAUUGGACAUGUGGCAGGCAAGUUAAUCUUCAGUGGAAUAUGCAAAUAGGAUUUCUGAAUUUGGCAUGCAAAUGAAUUUGAGAGCUUCUGGGAGCAUCUCUUCCAAGAUUCUGGUAAGCCUUUCUUCCUGGGCGAAACUUAGCAGAGGAAGGUAUAGAGAAGACCUAAGAAAGACCAAGGAGAAUUUGUGUCACUAAAAUUUGAAGCUUUGAUUCCGAAAUUUUAUUCAGCCUGAGUUGGUCAUUUGACUUUUACUGCUAUCAACUUGGGAGUUAAGGUGGUUAUGGUAUGGGGGUGGGUUUUAGGGCAAUAUGUAUGAUGAAGACUGAAAAUCAAGUUUGCAGAAAGAAAACAAAACAAAAUGAAAAUUAAAUAAAUUAUCAGGGAAGGCGAGAUGAGGGACUAAGAUGUGAAUAAGAGAGAAAAGACCAAUGUGAUUUCUAAUGGUUUUGCAGUUUUUGGUUCCAGUCCUCUGGGAAGCCUAGCGGUAUUUUCUGAUGAUAGUUUUCAUAAAAUAUUCAUCUAUGUUAUUUAAAAAGACUACUUUCUUUGGCCUCACAAGUAUAACUACAUGAUUAAUGUAAUAGUGAUGAUAUUAAUCUUAUAAUAAUAUGCUCUUUAUCUUUAUAAACAUGAUUCCCAAAUAAACUUUCUACCAUUUCAGUCUUAAAGAAGAGGAACAGUGCUGUUUAUUAAAAGGAUCAGACAAGGAGUAAAUGUGGAAUGAUCACUCUUCCCAGACCUAAUUGACUGCAGGAGGAACAGUCUGAAAUUGGGGAAAACAUCACACUACACCUAUACCUUAACUUCUCUCUGCAAACCUAAGCCCCAGAAAUAGGAUAUACAUUACCCUAUAUUGAAAUAAAAGCAAAAAUGAAGGUAUCUUUGCCCUACUCACAUUUGAGACUCUCAGAGGAGACUACCUUGAAGAAUGAUCCUGCUA
rnacentral:lncRNA from 10 species